AUUGAACGCUGGCGGCAGGCCUAACACAUGCAAGUCGAACGAGUGGCGGACGGGCGAGCAAGGGCUGGGAAACUGCCUGAUGGAGGGGGAUAACUACUGGAAACGGUAGCUACUACCGCAUACCAUCAGAUGUGCCCAGAUGGGAUUAGCUGGUUGGUGGGGUAACGGCUGUCCAAGGCGACGAUCCCUAGCUGGUCUGAGAGGAAGACCAGCCACACUGGAACUGAGACACGGUCCAGACUCCUACGGGAGGCAGCAGUGGGGAAUAUUGUACAAUGGGCGAAAGCCUGAUCGAGCCAUGCCGCGUGUGUGAAGAAGGCUUUCGGGUUGUAAAGUACUUUCAGUGGGGAGGCGGUACCCACAGAAGAAGCACCGGCUAACUCCGUGCCAGCAGCCGCGGUAAUAC
rnacentral:rRNA from 1 species